UUGACAGCUGUGAGGAGAAUGUCAAAAGCCCGGGAGCGCUUGACAGGAGACGACCUCACUGUCAGGAGAUCUCGCAAUAACAAGCGGAGCGCUCGAGACGCGAGAUCAAAGGAACAGUUGAAGCAGGGGAAGAGGAAGACGGAGCUCAGGCUGAAGAUGGCGGUGAUGACGCAGUUAAACAAGAAGAAAAUGCGCAAGACGAAGAUCUGAAUUACUAUCUCUCUUGGAUUCUGCAAAAGACAAGCGCUUGCUGACUCAGAAACAACUUGAAGGCCUAAUGAUUCUACAUCCGACUGUACCUACUAUAUAUUUGCUACCUAAAAUCCACAAGAACAGCAAGACACCACCAGGACGACCAAUUGUGUCUGUGUCCAACUCUCUUACAAAACCGGUGGAUGACCGAGGCUAUAUUCAGACCGACUUGUAUCGUAAAAGUACCGCAGCAAACAUCAUCCUGCAUGCAACUUCUGCACAUCCACUGCACCUUAUUAAAAACAUUACUUAUGGCCAGUUUCUUCGAGCCAGAAGACUUUGUUCAGAUGAUACACGAUUUGAAGCACAAGAGCUGAAGCAGAGACUUAAAGGAGAACUCCAGAA